GCCAGUGUGGUGUAAUGGCUUGAGCAUUGGACUACGACUCUGGGAGACCAGUGUUCAAAUCCCGGCUCAGGCA